rnacentral:lncRNA from 1 species
UUCUCAUUUCAUAAUCAAUCUUACCCUAGUUAAUAAGGUUAAAAAGAAAAUGACAAAUGCGUUAAGUGCUUUGGUCAAUAAAUCAAUAAUUACUUCAUUCUACAUAAGCGUUCAAAUUGAAAUUGUAGGCUUCUGACGAUUGCCAUGGAAACAAAAAGAGAUUUGAUCAUCAAGAUUUACAUUGAGACUGAUAGACCGGUCCCCUAAUGGAACCCAAUAGAAGGUUGAGACGUUGAGGUAAUUAAACGGCAAGUCAAAUUGCACCGCCCACGUCUUUUGAUAAUUGAUAUAGCCGAGGCCUGAGUGGGACGUGUCUGUCAUCGUCUUCGUGGUGCAAUUCCACGAGUUCUGUAGAUAAGGCUUUAAACCCUAUGUGCUGUACUAUAUUAUGUACCAUUAGAGAGAAUUGGGUUUAUGAAGGCGUGAAGUAAUCAAUGAGUGACACUGAAAGGUAAAGACUUGUGUAAUAUUAUUUUAUGAUUAUGCCCGUUGCUCUCUAUAACGUUAUGGAGCACGUACCUUUUGUUAAAGGUUUUACAGUAGAAUAUGUACGUGCCAUCUUACCAAGCACACUUUUUCCUCUUUUUUUUUUUGGUUUCAGAGCAGAGGCAUUCUCGCGUUAAGUGGACUAGAAUUAGAUGACUAUCACUUGAGUUC